rnacentral:lncRNA from 1 species
CCAAAAUUUAACCGAAAUUUGGCCGAAAUUCGGCCGAAAUUUGAACAAAACUUUAAAUAAAAUAGAGCAAAACAUAUCAGCACAACAACCAUCAGGAGAGAUCUUAUAAACGUUAGCAAAUAAGCUCUAGGGAUUAAGAAAAUUGAAUCUGCCCAACAUAACAGGCACACGUUAGCUAUAAUGUUGCCUCCAACAUAACAGUUAACAAUCCAACAUAGCAGACACACAUUAGUUAUAAAAUUGCCUCCAACAUAACCCUUAACAGUCCAACAUAACAGGCACACAUUAGUUAUAAAAUUGCCUCUGACAUAAACCCUUAACCGUCCAGCAUCAGUUCAACCAUCACAGCAUAGUUCAAAGUUUAAAUAGUCCAGUACAGCCAAAAGACUUUAAAGCAUUAAACAUAGAAACAUCUCCAAAAGACAACCAUCAGCUUAUUUGAAGCAUCAGCUCCAAGCUUCCCAACAUCCAAAAGCUUCUUGAUAUCCUUGCUCACGUGCCAUUUCUGGUUUGGAGAAAACAGAGGAAGGGUCAUGAUACAGAGUGCAUACAUCUAAGUAACUAGCAGUUCCAAGUAGCAACUAAAAUACUGUGUUAAGUAGCAAUUAGAACAACACUACUAAGUGAUUGGUAGCAACUAGAACAUCACUGGUAUGUGAUAAGUAGCAAUUAUAGCAACAAUACAAGAAGAUAAGUAUCAAUUACAGCAACACUACUAGGUGAGCAAUUAGAACAGCAGUACUAAUCAUACACAGUGAGCAUAAACAUUAGAGCACGAGAACAAUUAAAGAUCAACCUACUUAAAGAAAGCAAUAUACAUCAAGCUAUUUAAAGAUCAGCCGCUUUGAACAUAUACAUCAAGCUAGAUUUUUCUAAGUAACAAACCUGAAUCAGAAACACCAAAAAGAAGAGACUUACCAAAUUUACGAGUAGAGGCUGUUGACGUUCUUGGUCUUCUUCCUAAUAAGUCGUCCAGAUCUAGUCUCCAAAUGGCCAGUGCUUGUUGGUGCCUCCUUUUGAACUUGUACUUGUGUCUCUUCUUCAAGUUGCAUUUGUGUCUCAAGCUGAUCUUGUUCACCAUCCUCAUCAUCCUCACUCACCCCAUCAUCAUCCUCGAUGUCAUUAUCAACAUAUUCAUUCUCUUCUUCAUCAUCCUCACUCUCAGUUUCAAGAAACUCAUUCUCAUCAUCAUCAUUCCUCUUUCUUUUCUUGUUAUUACCCUUUGAACCAACAUAAGACGCCUUCCUGCUUGAGUUGAGGCGCCUUAUUUGCUCAAAAACAGCACUAGCUGCAUCAGCUCCAUCCACAAUCGGAUCCUCUACAUCCUCAUUCAGCCACUCCAUUAUUGGGUUUGUUUCAUCAAACAUUGUGGUAUCCAUUAGCAAUGCACUUGGAUCAAUUUCUUUAUCUAUAUCUCUCUCUUUCUCUUGAUCUUCUUCAGCACGUAUCUUCAAGGUUUGAAUAGUAAACAAGUAAAUUAUAUGACAUGCAAGGACAACACAAAGUAGAAAGUAAAAGUGAUGGUUUAUACCUUUAAGUUGUAGCGUACAGAAACUAGCUUGUGGAGCUUGUCAUAUAGAAGAUGACUUCUUUGCUUUGUGUGCACCAAAGCAAAAGCGCUCCAAUUUCUCUCACACCCACUAGAGGAGACACAUUGUGAGCAAAUUCUCAUUGCACAUUUCUGCAAUGCAGGAACAUCCCCUCCAAACUGA